GGGUCCGGACACACUGAGGAUUGACAGGCAAUAUUAUAAAUCUAUCUUUUUUACUUCGGUAAUAAAAUAAUUUAUAUGUUAAAUAUGCUAGUCCUUUCAUGAUUAUGUGAUAGGUGGUGCAUGGCCGUUCUUAGUUCGUGGAGUGAUCUGUCUGCUUAAUUGCGUUUCACUAUUGGGCUUAUAUAAUUACGUAUGCACGCUUUGCGCUUUGACCCCUUUUCUACGGAAUUGCGCGUGUCUUUGUCUCGUUUAGCUCAUACAAUUAAGCCCUGAAAGCAACGAACGUGACCGCAACCUCUUGUUGCUCUCAAUUUUGACUUCGUUUUACCAGACAGUCAUGCUUCUGAUAUGCACUACUCACACUCACGUGUGCUGUAAUGCUUUCUUAAGUCAAGAGAGCUUUCUAAACUAGAGGGACCGCUGUUACUUUCUUAAACCAGAGGAAGGUUGCGGCAAUAACAGGUCUGUGAUGCCCUUAGAUGUUCCGGGCUGCACACGUGCUACAAUGAUUAUUGCAGUGAGCAUCUCAUUUUUUACAUACAUCGCAUGCGCGAGUCCAUUUAUUCAUCACUUCGGUGUUGCUUUAAAUGUGCACCUCUGCGCGCGAUAAAGCCUACUUCGAAAGUAAGCGGG
rnacentral:rRNA from 1 species